AUGACUGGAGCCUGGCUGAAAGGUCCCCUCAGGGCUGGGAGUGGUGGUUCAUGCCUGUAAUCCCAGCACUUUAGGAGUCUGAGGCAGGUGGAUCACCUGAGAUCAGGAGUUCAAGACCAGCCUGGCCAAAAUGGUGAAACCCAGUCUCUACUAAAAAUGCAAAAAUUAGCUGUCUUAGUUCACAUUGCUAUACCAACAAUACCAUAGAGAAUUAUAAACAAGAGAAAUUUAUUUCUUAUGAUUCUGGAGGCUGGAAGUCCAAGAUCAAGGUGCUGGCAGAUUUUCUGUCUGGUGAGGGUCCGCUUCCUGGUUCAUAGAUGGCCAUCUUCUUGCUGAGUCCUCACAAGGUGAAAGGAGUAAGAGAGCUUUCUGGGGUCUCUUCUAGAAGGGCAUUAGUCCCAUUCAUGAGGGCUCCACCCUCAUGAACUAUUCACCUCCCAAAGGCUCCAUCUCCUAACGCCCUCCCACUGGGGGUUAGGAUUUCUUGUGUCAGUAACUAUUUUGCACACUGUUUCCUCUGGAACCACCAGACUUUGUUAAGACAAGAUAAAUUAAGAUAUUCGGAGAUGCAACGCAACGUGCUGAGUUGCCUAAGGCAUAUGACUUUUUUUUUUUUUUUUUUUUUUUUUUUUUUUUGGAGACAGAGUCUCACUCUGUGUCGUCUGUCUCAUUUCUUUAAACAUUCUUCAAGAAUGUAAUUUUUAAUGGCUGCUUGUUGUUCUAUGAUAUUUAUAACUCUCUUGUGGCACUUGGAUUAUAAAAUAUUUUCUGCCCCUAGAAGAUACUCACAGAAGGCAAUUUGCACAGAAAGCAGGGCAGAUGGGGCUGUGCUGACUGACAAGAGAUGAGCUCUGAGGUUCUGCAGUGAGCAGGUCUAUGCAAAUCUACCCCUAAAUUCUGAGGAAGCUGAGAGGCCAAAGAAAAAGGCUGACAAAUCUAGUUUCUUAGAAACUAUUAAAAGGGGCCUACAUAAUAACUAUGUUUAAAUGAUUAAAAAUUCUGAGAGAGAAGAGAAUCAAUACGAUAAAUUAGGCCAGUAAAGAAAGCAGAAUCUAUACAGAAUUAGAAAUAAAAAUAUAGCUACUGAAGUUAAAAACCCAGAAGAUGGGUUCAAUGACAGACCUAGAUCCGAUUCAAGAGAGGAAAGACCUGAGGAAAUCCCCCAGAAUUCAGUUCAAAGACACAAAAGGAUUCUAAGAUAUGAAAUGACAGUGAGCUCAAGAUCAUAUUUAACUUUACAUUUACACAGCACUUAUGUAGGUAGCCUCUGUCCUGUUCUUUACAAAGAUCAUCUAACUUAAUCCUCUUGACAAUCCUCUUUUUCAAAUGUAGCUGAGGUACAAAGAGUUUUAUGGACUUACCAAAGACACACAGGUAACCUUGGAGGUGGCAGAGCUUGCGUUGGACCCCAGUAAUCUACCCUUUCUGACUACAGUACAAUGAGCCUCAGAGACCCUACUGCUUCUGUACUCCUCUCUCUGCUGCACUAGCCACCUCCCCCUCUCCACGGGACCAUUCCUAUCAGCAUAUCAUAAUGCUCUUGUAUUUCCCAACAUUAAAAGAAAUCCUUUCUUGAUCUCAUACCCUCUGUCAGCUACUAAUCCCAUUAUUCUGUGAUUUAUCACAACCCAAAUUUAUAGAUUUUUACAAAGGCUGUC
rnacentral:lncRNA from 10 species